rnacentral:rRNA from 1 species
GACGGGGGGGGCAAGCGUUGUUCGGAAUUACUGGGCGUAAAGGGCGCGUAGGCGGCUUUUCAAGUCGGGCGUGAAAUCUCCGGGCUUAACCCGGAAGGGUCGUUCGAUACUGUUGAGCUAGAGUGUGGAAGAGGCAACUAGAAUUCCGUGUGUAGCGGUGAAAUGCGUAGAUAUACGGAGGAAUACCUGAGGCGAAGGCGGGUUGCUGGGCCAACACUGACGCUGAGGCGCGAAAGCCAGGGGAGCAAACGGG